CCUUACAGUCUGCAUACUGGUUUGCCAUACAAACUCCUAGUGCACUACAUGAUGUUAUGAAGUGGAAUACCAAUAACCAAGAAUCAUAAAACAAUAACAAAAGCAUGUAAAAGUAGCCUGAGAUGUCUCUUAAAAACUGCAGCCAUCAGACUAAGGACCUAAAGAAACAUUGGACAGAAAUUAUAGAAAACAAUGAGAUUACCUCUCAGCCUCCUUUUCUCCAAACUGAAGAACAUAAGUGUUUUCCAGCCCUUCAACCAGCUUUGUUGCCCUCCUAUGGAAGGAUGUCAUAACAUUCUACAUAUUUUACAGUAUGUUAAUAUUUACAAGAUUUUUUUUUUAAUAUAUAUUUCGGAACCCUGAAUUGUACUCAGUAUUCAAAGUUAGUCUGCACAGAAGUUAAAUAUGGUGAGAGAAUCAUCUCUUUUGACCACUAAAAUAGUAUACUUUUUUUAUAAAACCUUGUUAUCGUUGCCAGGUUUCAGCGAUAUCUCCAAGUUCUCCAAUUUUCAAGACCUGGAUUUUUAUUCAUUUUCUUACCACCAGAAACAUACAUAGUCCCAAAAUUCUAAUUUUAAGUGUUUAGCAAGUAUGUAGUUAAAUAGUUGUGGUUAGCAUGUGUGUGGCUUUUUUAUUUUAUUUAGAUGCAUAUGCAAAAGCAAGCAAGCAAACAACAGCAACAACAGAGCAGAUACUUAGAAACCUACAGAAGCUUAAAAGUAAAAAUUAAUUAGCAGUGUCAUAUUUCAUGACACAUAGGUCCUUGUCCCUUGUCUCACAAGUCUCUGUAAAGGUCAGUAAUUCAUGUUGUCUGUAGUGGAUGUCAAGAGAAGGUGCAAGUUUAUUGGAAUGUCAGUCACAAAUCUAAUGAGUUAUACACUAUUAAGAUCCCAUUUAAGUUAGGCUAAAUUUGCUCAUGGCUUUGUUUUGUUUUAUUCGCUUGGUCUGUCUGUGUGCUUGCUGUUGUUACUUCUGGUUUUGUUUGGUUGGUUUUUUUAUCUAUUUCUUUUUAAGAUAUGUUGACAGAUUAGGUUUAUUCCAGAAAGUAGAUCUUACUUAAGGUAAGAUUUUACUUAAAGAGGGUGGAACAUAUUUCAUAGUCUAAAACAUAUACACGUGCAAAGCGACCACAGAGGCACAUUGUAUAUUUAGAAAUAGAAAAACAAUUUUCAGAUCUGUAGAAUUUCAGCACAGAUUUGGCAGACAUUCUGUCUAUUCCUGACAGUGUUGAAUGCAUUCAAUUUUUUAAUUUUUUAUUUGAAUAUACAUUUUUAUUUUUAUAUAAUUAUUUUUUUCUAUGUGAACUAGGCCCAAAGCCAAUACAUAUACUCACAUAUGGGGAAUAUUUGGUACAACCAGAUGUUAAGAGAUGCAUUCUUCUAGUGCUGGCAUCUGGUCUUGGGUCUACGCCCUUGGCACACUCCCCUCUCUGACUCCUUGAUUAGUUCUGCUGCUGGCUGCUUUGACAUCUGUUCAGCUGUCUGCAGGCUUGGUAAAAUUCUGUUGUGUUUCUUUAUCUUUUUGGAUGUUAUAUUUCUUUGAUACUCUUAGGAGCAUGUAUAAUUUAAAUUUUACUCUGAUGUCCUAGCUAAUAAGGCAAAGUGCAUACUUGUGAACUGAUCCACAGUAAGACGCAACCCCUCAUAUAAGAAGGGAAAGAUCUUGAUCACUAUAUCUAUCUCUAUUUCUUCAUUGUAAAACUGACAAAAACUUAUUAAUAUAUUUUCUGAUAUUUUUAUUUUUAAAUGAGUAACCAUACUGCAUCUGUUUUAAAGAAAUCCAGUUAUUACUUAAACUACAGCUGAAAAAUCCAUCCCUUUAAAACAGGACAAUCAGUGAUGACCAAGUCAACAUUUAAAUUAUUUAUUUAUGAAUGAAACAGAUUUACACUUAAUGCUUUACUGUAACUGG
rnacentral:lncRNA from 7 species